AUUUUUCGCUGGCGGCAUGCCUUACACAUGCAAGUCGAACGGCAGCACGGAGCUUGCUCUGGUGGCGAGUGGCGAACGGGUGAGUAAUAUAUCGGAACGUACCCUAGAGUGGGGGAUAACGUAGCGAAAGUUACGCUAAUACCGCAUACGAUCUAAGGAUGAAAGUGGGGGAUCGCAAGACCUCAUGCUCGUGGAGCGGCCGAUAUCUGAUUAGCUAGUUGGUAGGGUAAAAGCCUACCAAGGCAUCGAUCAGUAGCUGGUCUGAGAGGACGACCAGCCACACUGGAACUGAGACACGGUCCAGACUCCUACGGGAGGCAGCAGUGGGGAAUUUUGGACAAUGGGCGAAAGCCUGAUCCAGCAAUGCCGCGUGAGUGAAGAAGGCCUUCGGGUUGUAAAGCUCUUUUGUCAGGGAAGAAACGGUGAGAGCUAAUAUCUCUUGCUAAUGACGGUACCUGAAGAAUAAGCACCGGCUAACUACGUGCCAGCAGCCGCGGUAAUACGUAGGGUGCAAGCGUUUAUCGGAAUUACCGGGCGUAAAGCGUGCGCAGGCGGGUUUGUAAGUCUGAUGUGAAAUCCCCGGGCUCACCUGGGAAUUGCAUUGGAGACUGCAAGGCUAGAAUCUGGGCGAGGGGGGUAGAAUUCCACGUGGUACAGUGAAAUGCCUUAAAUUUGUGGAAGGAACACCGAAUGCCGAAGGGCACCCCCCUGGGUCAAAAAUGACGCUCCUGGCCCGAAAGCCGGGGGGGAGCAAACAGGAUUAGAUACCCUGGUAGUCCACGCCCUAAACGAUGUCUACUAGUUGUCGGGUCUUAAUUGACUUGGUAACGCAGCUAACGCGUGAAGUAGACCGCCUGGGGAGUACGGUUGCAAGAUUAAAACUCAAAGGAAUUGACGGGGACCCGCACAAGCGGUGGAUGAUGUGGAUUAAUUCGAUGCAACGCGAAAAACCUUACCUACCCUUGACAUGGCUGGAAUCCCCGAGAGAUCAGGGAGUGCUCGAAAGAGAACCAGUACACAGGUGCUGCAUGGCUGUCGUCAGCUCGUGUCGUGAGAUGUUGGGUUAAGUCCCGCAACGAGCGCAACCCUUGUCAUUAGUUGCUACGAAAGGGCACUCUAAUGAGACUGCCGGUGACAAACCGGAGGAAGGUGGGGAUGACGUCAAGUCCUCAUGGCCCUUAUGGGUAGGGCUUCACACGUCAUACAAUGGUACAUACAGAGCGCCGCCAACCCGCGAGGGGGAGCUAAUCGCAGAAAGUGUNUCGUNGUCCGGNUUGUNGUCUGCCCCUCGNCUGCCUGNAGUUGGCCUCGCUNGUNNUCGCGGAUAAACAUGUCGCGGUGNNUNCGUUCCCGGGUCU
rnacentral:rRNA from 1 species